rnacentral:rRNA from 1 species
UACGGAAGGGGCAAGCGUUGUUCGGAAUCAUUGGGCGUAAAGCGCACGUAGGCGGCUUCGCAAGUCGGAUGUGAAAUCCCGUGGCUCAACCAUGGACGUGCAUCCGGAACUGCGAGGCUUGAGUAUGGAAGAGGGUCGCGGAAUUCCCGGUGUAGAGGUGAAAUUCGUAGAUAUCGGGAGGAACACCAGUGGCGGAAGGCGGCGCCUGGGCCAAUACUGACGCAUGAGGUGCGAAAGCGGUGGGGAGCAAACAGG